GCCAGUGUGGCAUAACGGUUUGAGUGGUGGACUACGACUCUAGAGACCAGGGUUCGAAUCUCCGCUCAGCCA